CACGGGUGAGUAACACGUAUGCAACCUGCCUGUAAGCGGGGAAUAACCCGUUGAAAGACGGACUAAUACCGCAUAAUACUAAAUACUGCAUGGUAAUUUAUUUAAACAUUUAUGGCUUACAGAUGGGCAUGCGCAUGAUUAGCUAGUUGGAGAGGUAACGGCUCCCCAAGGCAACGAUCAUUAGGGGUUCUGAGAGGAAGGUCCCCCACACUGGUACUGAGACACGGACCAGACUCCUACGGGAGGCAGCAGUGAGGAAUAUUGGUCAAUGGACGAGAGUCUGAACCAGCCAAGUCGCGUGCAGGAAGAAUGUUCCCUAUGGAUUGUAAACUGCUUUUGCAGGGGAAUAAAGUGCAUCACGUGUGAUGUUUUGUAUGUACUCUGCGAAUAAGGAUCGGCUAACUCCGUGCCAGCCGCCGC
rnacentral:rRNA from 1 species